rnacentral:rRNA from 1 species
CCUACGGGCGGCAGCAGUGGGGAAUAUUGGACAAUGGGCGAAAGCCUGAUCCAGCCAUGCCGCGUGUGUGAAGAAGGCCUUCGGGUUGUAAAGCACUUUCAGUGGGGAAGAAAGCCUUGGGGCUAAUACCCUCGAGGAAGGACAUCACCUACAGAAGAAGCACCGGCUAACUCCGUGCCAGCAGCCGCGGUAAUACGGAGGGUGCGAGCGUUAAUCGGAAUUACUGGGCGUAAAGCGCGCGUAGGCGGUCUGAUAAGCCGGUUGUGAAAGCCCCGGGCUCAACCUGGGAACGGCAUCCGGAACUGUCAGGCUAGAGUGCAGGAGAGGAAGGUAGAAUUCCCGGUGUAGCGGUGAAAUGCGUAGAGAUCGGGAGGAAUACCAGUGGCGAAGGCGGCCUUCUGGACUGACACUGACGCUGAGGUGCGAAAGCGUGGGUAGCAAACAGGAUUAGAUACCCCAGUAGUC